AUGCAAAUGGAGGUCGUCUACCUCGGCGUAGCUCUCGUGUCCUUGUGUGUUGUGCUUCUUUCCAGGCGUAGGCGCAGAGCGAACGAGCCGCCGGGGCCGUGGCAGCUGCCGGUUAUCGGCAGCCUGCACCACCUCGCCGGGCAGCUCCCCCACCACGCGCUGCGUGACCUAGCACGGCGCCACGGGCCGGUGAUGCUCCUCUGGCUCGGCGAGGUGCCCACGCUGGUGGUGUCGUCCCGGGAGGGUGCCCGCGAGGUGAUGAAGACCCACGACGCGGCGUUCGCGACGCGACCCCUCAACGCCACCAUGCGCGUGCUCACCAACGGCGGCCGGGGCAUUGUGUUCGCGCCGUACGGCGACUACUGGCGUCAGCUCAGGAAGAUCACCGUCUUGAAGCUCCUUUCGGCGCGGCGCGUCCUGUCCUUCCGCGCCAUCCGGGAGGAGGAGGUCGCUGCCAUGCUCCGCGAUGUCGCGGAUGCAGCGGCGGCCGCGCGCCCCGUGGAGCUAAGCGCGCGCAUCUCCGCCCUCGUCACCGACAUCACCGUCCGCGCCGUCAUGGGCGACCGGUUCAAGGAGCGCGACGUGUUCCUCCGCUCGCUCGACCGCGGCGUGAAGCUCGCGGCCGGGUUCAACCCGCCGGACCUGUGGCCGUCGUCCUGGCUUGUCGGUUGGCUCAGCGGGGGCGUGCGCCGCGUCAAGGAUUGCCGCGAUACCGGGACCGGCAUCCUUGACCCCAUCAUCCGGGAGCACCUGGAGAAGAUGGAAGAUGGCGGAGGCCAGAAGGAGGACUUGCUCGACGUGCUUCUAAGAAUACAGAAGGAGGAGGAGGGCAGGCUCCAAUUCCCGCUCGACAUGGACACAGUCAAAUCCGUCAUCUUGGACAUAUUCGGAGCCGGCAGCGAGACGGCGGCUACGACGCUGGGCUGGGCGUUUGCAGAGCUGAUCAGGAACCCAAUGGUGAUGCAGAAGGCGACGGCUGAGGUCCGACAAACCUUUGAGGCUCGCGGCACCAUAGCGGAGGAGGCCCUCAACGAACUCUCGUACCUACACCUAGUCAUCCGGGAAACUUUGCGGCUGCACACGCCCUUGCCGCUGCUCAUCCCUCGAGAGUGCCGGGAGUCAUGCCAGGUGCUCGGGUACGACGUGCCGCGGGGUACACAGGUGCUGGUCAAUGCCUGGGCGCUCGCCCGUGACGAGCGCUAUUGGCCCGACGCGCCGGACGUGUUCCGGCCCGAGAGGUUCGAGGGCGAGGCGGCUGGGGCGGACUUCAGGGGCACCGACUUCUCCUUCUUGCCAUUUGGCGCCGGCCGGAGAAUGUGCCCCGGGAUAGAGUUUGGCCUCGCCAACGUCGAGCUCGCGCUCGCAAGCCUGCUAUUCCACUUUGACUGGGAGGGUACACCACCUGGGGAGUUGGACAUGGCCGAGGUGUUUGGCAUCACUGUGCGGCGGAAGGCCGGCCUCCUGGUGCGCCCCGUUCUCCGAGUGCCCGUUCCCCGAGUCUUGUCAGACGGCAACGGAGAUCGUUAA
rnacentral:rRNA from 1 species